rnacentral:rRNA from 1 species
AUUGAACGCUGGCGGCAGGCCUAACACAUGCAAGUCGUGCGGAGCGGCGGCAGGGUGAGUAAUGCAUAGGAGUCUGCCUGGUAGUGGGGGAUAACGUCCGGAAACGGGCGCUAAUACCGCAUAAUAUCAGAUGAGCCUAGGUCGGAUUAGAUAGUUGGUGGGGGAAAGGCCUACCAAGGCGACGAUCCGUAACUGGUCUGAGAGGAUGAUGAGUCACACUGGAACUGAGACACUGUCCGGACUCCUACGGUAUGCAGCAGUGGUGAAUAGUGGACAAUGGGCGAAAUCCUGAUCCAGCCAUGCCGCUUGUGUGAAGAAGGUCUUCGGAUUGUAAAGCACUUUAAGUUUGGAGGCGUUACCAACAGAAUAAGCACCGGCUAACUUCGUGCCAGCAGCCGCGGUAAUAC